ACUGCAAAAUGUACUUGGCAUGUUGGUGUUUAUGUCGAUGCAUAUAUGGCUUCUAUUUCUAUGGUGAGAGAUGGUGAAUUUUUCUUUUUUUACACCUUUUUAAUGCCUCUUAUUCUUAGGAAUAGAUAAUUCAGCCGUUGCUAGUUGCUAAUCCUCUUUGACGUUUUUUAUUGUGCAUUUACAAUAUCUCUUUGAAAUACAAACCUUUAUAUUUACUCCUUGUUCUUAAAGGAACGGAAAGUGAAUCAAUGAAGUAGCAGCUUUUGUUGAAAAACAUUCUCAUCUGACUCGGUGCUGCUUUCUUUAGCGACACGGUGACGAGCAGAGCGGGCCACACUGAGGACCAACAUUUCUCUCUGCACUCUGCACCUCCACCUACCGCAGUUGUGAACAGCACUUGUCUCCUUGCUGAUGUUUCUGAUGACAGCUGACGUUUCUACAAACAACCUGGGAAGCGAUGAGCCUAUGCUAAUUGGUGCCAGUGUUUCCAUGCAGCACAAAGGCUCUGCCUUCAGAUCCCAGCCUGGGGCACAGACGCUUUCUGCACAGAGUUUUUUCAUGUUCUCCCUGCGGAUGUGUGGGUUCUAUUUGGGUACCUCGACUUCCUCCCAUUGUCCAAAAACAUGAUUGUCUAUUUUUUAUCAGUCCCUAUGUGUGCAUGCAUUGUUUGACCAGUGUGUGUCUGUGUGGCCUGUUGAUGAAGUGGUGAUCUGUCCAGGAUGGACACUGCCUCUUGCCUUCUACCUACUAUUAAUAAUAGUUAUAGCGUUGAUAUUUCAUCAAAUGUAAAAAAAAAAAAAGAAAAAAAAAGAAAAAGUGUAGAAGGAGACAGAGGAAAAGAUAAGGGGAGAAGAGAUGAGGAAGUGAAAUUUCUGACGUGACAGUCUUCAAAGAAAAGCAUAACCAGCAGCAUAAGAACAAGCAGCUUCCUCUUGAUAAAACGUUACACUAUGACACCCAAUUUGAUUCUGCUCAGUUCUGCAGGAAAGUCGAUCUCACGGAGCGGCUGAUCUCGAUUGUUUGGCUCCAUAAAGAUUCAGACUUUCCCCCAUUUAACUUGGUAAGAUUAAAAUGUUUUAUUAUCUUUUGCUCUGAAUCCGUUUGUGUCUGACUGCACAAGUUAAGCCAAACAUUCAGAAGUUUCAUUUUGCGCUUGCACAGCUCCAUAAAAGGACAACAGUCUUUAUUGCCACGAUGAGCAAAAGAAAACCUGAGAGUUCACUGCUUUAAGGAAAGAAAGAUAGAGCUGAGGGAAUGUCAGGAAACACGAGAAGCAAAGCAGGAACAGUAAAGCAAAACGAGGGUGAAACCUUGAAACAUUUGGAGGUAUUCAUAUUUGGUUAAAUUCAAACUGAGAUAAAGUAAAGAGAUUAAAGUCACAGACUUUCAGCCCCCAACAGAUGAACUUUCCACACUAAUCGGACAUCUACUCCAUACACACCUGACCUUUUGGUAUUUUAAUUUUAUUUUGCAUCCUCAGCACUUGCUCGUUCCCUCCUACGACACAUCCACACGCGCGUGUGUGCCCUGAGUGAUGCAUGCACACACACCCGUUCAUUUGACUUGCCAGGAAAGAAAGACCGCGAUCCGCUCAAGUAGGUCCCUGGACAUGAAUCUAAAGACAGUAGGGAGCGUGCAGAGCAAUCAAGUGAUAAAGCUUAUUAUCUGAGAAGAGCUAUAUUCUAAGACUUAUUAUCUACCAGGAGUUAAAUGACUUUCAGGUCCUCAAAGGCCCGAUGGCCUGGUUUGACUCUGCUGGAGAGGGAAAAGAAGAGGUGGUUGGAUGAGAGGGGGGGGAAAAAAAUUGAAAAAUUAUGCGAGAGAAGAGAAAGGAGAGGUGAAAAGAUGAGAGGAAAAAUAUGAGGAGAGGAGAUGCUUGAAGACAGGAGUGAGAGAGAAGAAGGUGAUUCAUGGGUGUAGGCAGUUGUUGUUCUGACUUCAUGCAGCUACUGUGAAACCAAUAUUCUGUCGAGGGUUGGCAAAUACACUGUACUUCAUAAAGCUGCCAGGGGCUGCAUUCUUUCUUUGUUGAAGCUGCACAGGUAGCUUAGUGUUGAUACUGUACAUAGUUUAUUGCAGUGGAUGCCACAGAUGUUGGAAAAGCAAAAAUAGAUUUGGAGUGUGAAUGCUUAUGGGGAGAAGGCUGAACUGCAGCUUUACUAAAGGAUGAGUUGCAGGCUGCAGGAAAUGAGAGAGCAGCAUUUAGAGAAGAGGGAUGAUUGUAAAUUCAGCAUUUUGCUGCAUACAAUACGUACCAUCGUCAAGGGUUUCUAUUCGCACGCAUGUAAAAUUGUUCGGUUUCAACUCUCACGGUGAGUGAGUUGAAUUUUAAUCGUUUCCAUUACUAAAUUUUUUAGCUUUGGUGAAAAUGUUCUCACCUCUGUUCAUUUUAGAUUGUCAGCUAAAUAUUACUGCUAUCAGUGCAAAUUCUACUGAAAUCCAGGUCAAUUUCCCACUCCCAACAUUUACUCUGACAUUUUUCCCAAGAGUAAAAAGUUUCUAUAGAUCAUGAGUAGAAUGUGACCUCCAUCUUCUGCGAAAUACAAAGUGGCAUUGUUUUACUGCCCUUACUUCCCAGAUUUUUUAAAUCGCUAGAGAAACUUUUUUUUGUUUUACUGCUCAUCUAGAUUCCUGUCAGAGACAGCUGUGCUGCAGAGCAAACAAGAGGAGCUCUGGAUUCAGCUCCUGUUUCUGUAUUUCUCAGUAACAGCCCUGCAGUCCACCUUAGUGUCACCACCUGCGCUUAUGGAAAAACGAAAGAUGAACUGUUGUUUGUGCAACAUUGGCAUUUUCUCUAGCGGGCAACUUGAGGAUUUGAAAUGUCGUAGCGUAGCUUGAGAAAUACGGUGAUCAUAAAGACCGAACACAACCGUGACAGUGGUUUAAUACUUCAUUACGUGUCUACCUUCAUGUCUACCUUCAUGCUCUUGGCGCCGCUUUUAUUAACGGUUAGCUCCAGGAAAAUUAAAUAAAUUUAUACGCGCUCACCCCCAGGGAGUCGAUAAAACAUUAACUGCUCGUAGAUUUGAAGAGGACCUCCUAUUAAACAGUUUGAACUAUUUCUUUGACGAUUUACUGGUUAAAACGUCAAAGCCGAUUGCAACAAUCACAGAAGGCAAAAAACUGUAAAAGUCAUCAACACAGAGCGCAACCAGAAGUGAGCUCCCAAAUAAAAGUCUAACUAUUGGGACAAUACAACCUUAUUACACCUCUAUAAGCACGUCGCUGGAUUUGUCAAAAUACACAGCAAGAUAAAACACAAUGUGACAAAAGCUUAAGAAAGUAGAAUGUAGUAAAAAAAAAAAACGAGUGUGUUUAGCAUGAAACAUUUUCUAAACUCUUCCUUUUCGUCUUCACAUAAAGAAUAUGCCAUGAGAUAUUUACACCACACUAUGACUUUGCUGUGGGAAGCAAAUGAACAAGUGUUUCUAAUUGCAGUCGGAGGGAAAAUGCAAUUUCAUACGCUUUCUGAGCAGUGAUCGGGAAAGUUUCUCUGCACUUAAACCAACGGAAAGGCACUUGAAGCAGGAGCUCUAACCAUGCCCUUUUCCAAACCGCUCUUUAAACACCUUUUAAGGCAUUAUCAAACUGCAGUAUUUAACAGUAGAGGCAGCUUAAAAAAUGCUAACAAGCUUGCUGUGAAUUAAUGUCAGCUCAGCGCCUCUUUAAACAUACAAUAUUGACAAAGCUAAUGCAAACUAAGAGCUGUUUAGCUCAGAGUCAAGUGUUUUUCUUCUGUGUAAAUGAACCAAGCACUCCUCUGACUAGAAAAGAAAACUUUGCACAUCGGUAUGAAUUGCCUUAAAAGCUACUUAGACAGCAGAGACGACCUAUAAUAUUCCCCCAAGAGUGCGGCACUGUGCCGAGCAUUUACAACGACUCAAAAGAGAACUUGAACCUAAAGACAAAAACACAGAGCUACAACAAAAUAUCCUUGGUUGAUUAAGAUUAUUCUUUAUUAUGAAGUGCCACAAAAUGCUUUGUGAUCAUUGUGCUUACAUUGUCUGAAUACUGGCUCAAAAAAACUUAACAAAACAAAAAAAAAAAAAGAAAACUCACAGGAGAUUCUCACUCUGGAACAGAGAUCCAGCCCUCCUGCGUUAAGGUAAGUCAGAUAUCGCUAUACAGCAUAAAAACGUCUCAAUCCAAAGGAUUCUUUACAAACCCCUCCUGCAAUAAAUGAUUAUUUAGGCUAUCAUCAUUCUUUAACUUGGAAAUACAAAAGAAGAAGAAGAAGAAGAAGAGAGGUCAAGCUAGUACAAGUUUUUAUUUUUUUAUAUAAUUCUUCUCUACCUGAUUUCUAGUUAGUUUCAUUGUGCUACUUUCUUUAAAGGUGGAGAUGACUACAAUGGAAGUACUUAAAGAGGCCAGAUCAGGAGCUCACCAGGAGACAGACUCAAGCAGACAGACUUCAUAAAGUAUUCCUUCUGCUUUAAAACCACUGAAAAGCCUCACCAGAGUUUCAGCCAAACACCCAGAAGACAGAAUAGAGUGCAAAGUCUAUCAACCAACACUUUGAGACAUUAAGACGGGAAACGGAGUCUGAGCAUCAUCACAUGUACUCGGUUGCUAUGGCUGUUAGAAGUCCUGAUUAUUACAUCGCUAGACCUUUGAGUUAAACUAAGAAAUAUAAAGGCUGCAUUUUUUGUUUUGUUUUGUUUGUACAAAUUUUGCUAUAAAAACAUUUUAAUCAUCUGCGAUGCUGAAGCAAAAAUUAAAAGGUUGUCUGUAUUGUACAUAAAAGCUGUUCUAAAUUACAAACUGAAAAGCAAAAAGGGCCUCAAAAAGAUGGUGAUCUACGAUCAAUGAUUUGAUCAAUUUUAGAUGACUGAAGUCCAGAUCAAGACCACGACUGGCUGGUUCACAUUCUUAUUUUGCAAAAAUUAAUAAUAAUAAAAAAAAUGUAUCUUUCACCAAGAUCUCAUCAACACUUUUUUUUCAGCCGUUAUUGUAGAAGAUAAAGAAGUCAGAAGUGUGAGAUGUUAUCUUCUCGCACUUCUGACACUUCUGAUUUAGGCUUUGUGCCUUCAGAACAUCAUUGCAGACGCAUCAAAAUUUAUGCGAGGUUUUUCUUCUUUCACUCUUGUAACAAGUUAAGAAAACUAAGCUUAGUCUGUGUAAUCUUUAAGACGCCCUCUGUCAAAAACAUCUCCAAACAGCAUCAGUCCUCAGGAAGCAGUGUAAUUAUCAAGGCUCAGCAAUCCACAUAGCUAAACGUAGCUGCAGACGGAUUUGUUAUUCCAAAUGGCUUAUAAUCAGGCACUGUGUGCUUGCAUGCAUAUGGAUGCACUUGUUAACUCAUUUCUGAAUGUUUCUGCUCAAGCUUGCAAUAUGCACAAACUGUAUAGUGUCACGGA